rnacentral:lncRNA from 1 species
CAAAAAAUAAAAAAAAGGAUUUUUUCACAUUAUAAAGUGAUCAAGCAAAUUUCAUUUUUUUUACGCUCAAAGAAGACAAAAUAUGGCUACAACUUCAAAGUUUGUUUAUUCUAUGAUUAUCCUUCUUUCCAUAUUUUUUUAUGUAACAAACUGUUGUAAGUACUUUUGUCUGCAUUUCUAGUUUUUUUUCUUCUUUAUCUUAUUCUGUUUAAUAACAUUCUUUAAUUUUUAUUUGACAUCACAGCAAUCCUUCUUUGCGAUCACGAUCAAGAUUGUCCGAAAUAUUUGUGCAUCCCUCCUCAAUUUCCGAAGUGCGUAUUAGAUUGUCAAUGUUUGUAGCCUUAAAAUAUAACUUAAUAAAUAGUAUUUUCUUUGAGUGUUUCUAUAUGUAAUUUCUUGUUGUUA